AACGGUGAAGCCCCGCUUGCAGGGUGGAUCAGUGGCGAACGGGUGAGUAACACGUGAGCAACCUGCCCCUGACUCUGGGAUAAGCGCUGGAAACGGCGUCUAAUACUGGAUACGAGACGUGAUCGCAUGGUCAACGUUUGGAAAGAUUUUUCGGUUGGGGAUGGGCUCGCGGCCUAUCAGCUUGUUGGUGAGGUAAUGGCUCACCAAGGCGUCGACGGGUAGCCGGCCUGAGAGGGUGACCGGCCACACUGGGACUGAGACACGGCCCAGACUCC
rnacentral:rRNA from 1 species